AUUGGAAACGGGCCGUAGCAAUGCUAGUUGAUAGUACCGUAAAUAAUUUUUCUAAUUACUCGUAUGUAAAAUUAAAAUGGCUGAAAGUUGAAAAAGGUAACCCUUCAAUAAUGUUGAGAGACAUUCUUCCUGUUUGCCCAAGCUGUCUGCUGUAGCAAUGUAUCUGUUUGCAGUUUAAAUUCAGUGUUUUAUGAAUUAGCAAUCAUUAUUGAUCACAUUUACUAUAUUUAGUUCUAUAUUUUGAUUUGUACAACCUAUUGAAUAGAAA
rnacentral:lncRNA from 1 species